rnacentral:rRNA from 1 species
AUUGAACGCUGGCGGCAGGCCUAACACAUGCAAGUCGAGCGAGCGGCGGACGGGUGAGUAAUGUAUGGGGACUGCCCGAUAGAGGGGGAUAACUAAUGGAAACGGUGGCUAAUACCGCGUACUAACGGAGAACCCAUAUGGGAUGAGCUAGUAGGGGGGGUAAAGGCGCACCUAGGCGACGAUCUCUAGCUGGUCUGAGAGGAUGAACAGCCAUCCUGGGACUGAGACACGGCCCAGACUCCUACGGAGGCUGCAUUGGGGAAUAUUUCACAAUGGGCUCAAGCCUGAUGCAGCCAUGCCGCGUGUCUGCAGCAGGCCUUAGCGUUGUACAGUCCUUUCAGCGGGGACGCGUUCCCCGCAGAUGAAUCACCGGCUAACUCCGUGCCAGCAGCCGCGGUAUUAC